GCCUCCGUAGCUUAAUUGGUUAGCGCGUUCGGCUGUUAACCGAACGGUUGGUGAUUCGAGCCUACCCGGAGGUA